AUUGAACGCUGGCGGCAUGCCUUACACAUGCAAGUCGAACGGCAGCACGGGGCAACCUGGUGGCGAGUGGCGAACGGGUGAGUAAUGUAUCGGAACGUACCAUUGAGUGGGGGAUAACGUAGCGAAAGUUACGCUAAUACCGCAUAUACCCUGAGGGGGAAAGCAGGGGAUCGCAAGACCUUGUGCUCUUUGAGCGGCCGAUAUCAGAUUAGCUAGUUGGUGAGGUAAAGGCUCACCAAGGCGACGAUCUGUAGCGGGUCUGAGAGGAUGAUCCGCCACACUGGGACUGAGACACGGCCCAGACUCCUACGGGAGGCAGCAGUGGGGAAUUUUGGACAAUGGGCGCAAGCCUGAUCCAGCCAUGCCGCGUGAGUGAAGAAGGCCUUCGGGUUGUAAAGCUCUUUCGGCCGGGAAGAAAUCGCACAGGUUAAUACCCUGUGUGGAUGACGGUACCGGAAUAAGAAGCACCGGCUAACUACGUGCCAGCCGCCGCCGUAACAC
rnacentral:rRNA from 1 species